UGCAGAGGUCCCAAGCGUUGUUCGGAUUCAUUGGGCGUAAAGGGUGUGUAGGUGGCGCCGUAAGUCGGGUGUGAAAUCUCGGGGCUUAACUCCGAAACUGCAUUCGAUACUGCGGUGCUUGAGGACUGGAGAGGAGACUGGAAUUCAUGGUGUAGCAGUGAAAUGCGUAGAGAUCAUGAGGAAGACCAGUGGCGAAGGCGGGUCUCUGGACAGUUCCUGACACUGAGACACGAAGGCCAGGGGAGCAAACGGG
rnacentral:rRNA from 1 species